UCCAGACUCCUACGGGAGGCAGCAGUGGGGGAUAUUGCACAAUGGGGGGAACCCUGAUGCAGCGACGCCGCGUGGGUGAAGAAGCGCCUCGGCGCGUAAAGCCCUAUCGGCAGGGAAGAAGGAGGACGGUACCUGACUAAGAAGCCCCGGCUAACUACGUGCCAGCAGCCGCGGUAAUACGUAGGGGGCAAGCGUUAUCCGGAUUUACUGGGUGUAAAGGGGGCGCAGACGGCAGCGCAAGCCAGGAGUGAAAGCCCGGGGCCCAACCCCGGGACUGCUCUUGGAACUGCGCGGCUGGAGUGCAGGAGGGGCAGGCGGAAUUCCUGGUGUAGCGGUGAAAUGCGUAGAUAUUAGGAGGAACACCGGUGGCGAAGGCGGCCUGCUGGACUGUGACUGACGUUGAGGCCCGAAGGCGUGGGGAGCAAACAGGAUUAGAUACCCGCGUAGU
rnacentral:rRNA from 1 species